rnacentral:rRNA from 1 species
GAUGAACGCUGGCGGCGUGCCUAAUACAUGCAAGUCGAGCGAACAGACGAGGAGCUUGCUCCUCUGACGUUAGCGGCGGACGGGUGAGUAACACGUGGAUAACCUACCUAUAAGACUGGGAUAACUUCGGGAAACCGGAGCUAAUACCGGAUAAUAUAUUGAACCGCAUGGUUCAAUAGUGAAAGACGGUUUUGCUGUCACUUAUAGAUGGAUCCGCGCCGCAUUAGCUAGUUGGUAAGGUAACGGCUUACCAAGGCAACGAUGCGUAGCCGACCUGAGAGGGUGAUCGGCCACACUGGAACGGAGACACGGUCCAGACUCCUACGGGAGGCAGCAGUAGGGAAUCUUCCGCAAUGGGCGAAGGCCUGACGGAGCAACGCCGCGGGAGUGAUGAAGGUCUUCGGAUCGUAAAACUCUGUUAUUAGGGAAGAACAAAUGUGUAAGUAACUAUGCACGUCUUGACGGUACCUAAUCAGAAAGCCACGGCUAACUACGUG